GCCGGAGUGGUGGAAACGGCAUACACGACAGUCUUAAAAACUGUUGAAGGGAAACUUUCAUGUCGGUUCGAGUCCGACCUCCGGUACCA
rnacentral:tRNA from 1 species